rnacentral:rRNA from 1 species
GUGGGGAAUCUUGCGCAAUGGGCGAAAGCCUGACGCAGCCAUGCCGCGUGAAUGAUGAAGGUCUUAGGAUUGUAAAAUUCUUUCACCGGGGACGAUAAUGACGGUACCCGGAGAAGAAGCUCCGGCUAACUUCGUGCCAGCAGCCGCGGUAAUACGAAGGGGGCUAGCGUUGCUCGGAAUUACUGGGCGUAAAGGGCGCGUAGGCGGACAGCUUAGUCAGAGGUGAAAGCCCAGGGCUCAACCUUGGAAUUGCCUUUGAUACUGGCUGUCUUGAGUACGGGAGAGGUGAGUGGAACUCCGAGUGUAGAGGUGAAAUUCGUAGAUAUUCGGAAGAACACCAGUGGCGAAGGCGACUAACUGGCCCGUUACUGACGCUGAGGCGCGAAAGCGUGGGGAGCAAACAGGAUUAGAUACCCGGGUAGUCC